AAGCUAUCUCAGGAGAUCAUGUAAAAUUAGUGCUUUCAUCGGGGCAUGAACCUCCUGGACGCCCUGACGUUCAGCAUGCAUCAGAUCCUCUCAGAAGCAAUGCUCCUAACCAUGGUGAGAACCAGUUUGGCAGAACCAUUCAAGUUCACGCUGCUAGAAAGCUGGACAAGAAUGUGAAAUUCAAAUACAUACCGAAACAAAAAACUAUUGCGUAGGUAAAUUUGGUGAUUCAGAAUUGUUUAGUUUAGGAAAUUGCCCUCAGUUUCUCAGCAGAGGUUCCAGUUUUACAGUGGUCUUCUGUCGGACAAGUGAAGGAAUUUUUCUUGAGGAAUCCCUUUGUUUUUUUUAGUUUAAUAUUUUUGAGCAGUGGUGAGCUUGUGAGGUGGUCGAUGGUUUAAGUUCGAGGUUGGAUCUUGGAUUUUGCUGCACCUGUAAAGUUGUUGUUGGGUGGGGUGGGGGGGGGGAUCCCAUCGAUAUAUUUUUUUUUUUGUUAAUUACAAACUUUUUGGGGUUCGCUUACUUGGUAAAUGUAUGACAGAUUUUAGCUGAAAAUUAUAGUUUUUUGAUUAAUAAGAAUUGAACUUCACAUUUAGUGUUUCGUUAGCGCUAUACGACGGUGAAUGUGGAUUAGCAAUUUAUGAAACAAUAUUUAGCAUAUGAUCUGUUAAACUAGAGGUGAGGUUAGUGGUUCUAGUAUUUUUCUGAACGAUAAUUCUCUUUGUGUAAGAGGGUCUAUGACUAUUUUGGUAGGCCAUCGUCCACUUUAUUUUAGACCAUUAAUUGUAAGAGAAUGUUAAACUAAGGAGAUUAAUACCAUAACCAGGGGGCUUAGCCCACUGGCCACCGGGUCCUCACUUAAGUGAAGUGACCCGGGUUCGAUCCCUCUUGGGAGCGAAUUGGAGAUUGGGGAGAUAUAAGGUGGAUUUUGGUGAAUGGAGAGAUAAGGUGGUUCUUGGAGUGGAUGGGGGAACUAACUACUAACAUCUAACAUGACUUUGCCCGAUCAAAAAAAAAAAAAAAAAAUAUACCAUAACUGGCACGCUGAUAUUGCUCUUUUGGAUUUGAAUUGAUCAAUCAAGUGGUCUUUCUUCUCAAAAAAGAAAAAAAAAGGAUGAAUUAUCUAAGGUCUUUAAUCGGUCUCUAACUUGUUUUCUUUCUUUUCUUUUUAUUGAAAACCAAAACUUGGGGUUUUUUUUAUGCCCUAAGUCACCCCAAUGGACAUUACUAUUUUGCUUUGCUUACCUUACAUCUUUCUGUGUCAUGAAUAGCAAACUUGAAAAAACAGGAAAAAAUCUAUAUGUUAUACUCCUAGUACAGUAUAGAUUACAUGAAUUGAAAUGAUGCAAUACAAUAAUGACAUGACAUAGCAUUUACUAAAAAAUAUGUAAAAUAUUUUUCGUGAACAUUAAUAAGCCUACUAGAUCACAGCUCAGUUGAUAAGACUAGGGAUGACAACGGGCCGGAUCUGGACCGGGUCUGGCCAAUACCAGAUCCAGAUCCGUUUUCAUAUACUAGAUCCAGAUCCAGAUCCAGAUCCGUGGAUCUGAAAAUUUUGGAUCCAGAUCCAGAUCCGUCAGAUCCGCGGGUCCACGGGUCCAGAUCCAUGGAUCUACUAUUUUUAAAUUAAAAUUAAAAAAUUUCACAAAUCAACAAUAUCUAAUUUCCAUCAUGAAAAAUAUAACACAAAAUACUUUUAUCUAAUUACUUUUAGUUUUUAUUCUUUUGAAUAUAAUUUAUUUAUUAUUUUUAAUUUAGUUAAUAUUAUUAGUAAACUGAAUAUAAAAUAUAAAAUAUAUAUAUAAAAUAAAACGGAUCCACGGGUCGGAUCUGGGCCGGAUCCGGAUCUACAAUUUUAAGAUCCAGAUCCAGAUCCGUUUUCAAAACUGAGAUCCAGAUCCAGAUCCAGAUCCGUCGGGUCCAAAAAAUUGAGAUCCAGAUCCGUAAAAACGGAUCUGGAUCCACGGAUCUGGACCGGGUCCAAGAUCCACUGCCAUCCCUAGAUAAGACGCAUUCUUUCAAACCAUUAGAUUGGAACUUUGAGUUGUAAUAAGAAAAUGAAAAAUUAUUAUUGAAUAUCUUUUGAGAAAAGAGAAAAAAGAAAAAAACGUUAGUAAUAGUAUUGCUUGGGUUAAAACACAGGAAUCGGAUUGAAAAAUAUCGAUAUGAGAAAUUGGUGAACAAGUGGCAAGUAUCCUAAACAUUCACCUCAAUUUCCCUUCCAAAAAGCUCUCCCCUCCAUUCGCUCUCUCUCUCUAACAAAAACAAAAGAAAAUGGUAACCUCUCUAUCCGGAUAACAUACUUUCCAUUUCCUCACACAACAAAAUCACUCUCUCUCUCAACUACACACAGGAUUUUGAAGCAUGGUCGGGUGGAAUCGGUCCAUCAGGCGACAUAACUCUCCCGAGCGAAGACCACAACCACCCGAAACCGCCAACGCCGCCCUGAAGGCCGCCGGCAAGCCCUCCGCCUUCUUCACCUUCCGGCAGCUCAACGCCCUGGCCGUGGCGGUAGUCCUCUCGGCGAGCGGCAUGGUGAGCCCCGAGGACUUGGCCUUCGUCCUCUUCUCCCUCAUCUACAUCUACUUCAUCGGCAAAGUCGCCUUCCCCCCGACCUCCGCCCACGCGGAGCCCCCCGUCUUCGGCGAGAGCAACAAGCUCCUCNCUUCUGUGUUCUAUACUACAUAAAUCUGAGUUAAAUACUUGUUUUCAUUUAUUGCGUUGCAGUGAGCCUUAUAAAACUCAAUUUAUGCAGGAUGGAAAGAAGCUAUCUCAGGAGAUCAUGUAAAAUUAGUGCUUUCAUCGGGGCAUGAACCUCCUGGACGCCCUGACGCUCAGCAUGCAUCAGAUCCUCUCAGAAGCAAUGCUCCUAACCAUGGUGAGAACCAGUUUGGCAGAACCAUUCAAGUUCACGCUGCUAGAAAGCUGGACAAGAAUGUGAAAUUCAAAUACAUACCGAAACAAAAAACUAUUGCGUAGGUAAAUUUGGUGAUUCAGAAUUGUUUAGUUUAGGAAAUUGCCCUCAGUUUCUCAGCAGAGGUUCCAGUUUUACAGUGGUCUUCUGUCGGACAAGUGAAGGAAUUUUUCUUGAGGAAUCCCUUUGUUUUUUUUAGUUUAAUAUUUUUGAGCAGUGGUGAGCUUGUGAGGUGGUCGAUGGUUUAAGUUCGAGGUUGGAUCUUGGAUUUUGCUGCACCUGUAAAGUUGUUGUUGGGUGGGGGGGGGGAUCCCAUCGAUAUUUUUUUUUUUUGUUAAUUACAAACUUUUUGGGGUUCGCUUACUUGGUAAAUGUAUGAC
rnacentral:lncRNA from 1 species